rnacentral:rRNA from 1 species
CAGCCGCCGCGGUAAUACGUAGGUGGCAAGCGUUGUCCGGAAUUAUCGGGCGUAAAGGGCUCGCAGGCGGUUUCUUAAGUCUGAUGUGAAAGCCCCCGGCUCAACCGGGGAGGGUCAUUGGAAACUGGGAAACUUGAGUGCAGAAGAGGAGAGUGGAAUUCCACGUGUAGCGGUGAAAUGCGUAGAGAUGUGGAGGAACACCAGUGGCGAAGGCGACUCUCUGGUCUGUAACUGACGCUGAGGAGCGAAAGCGUGGGGAGCGAACAGGAUUAGAUACCCCCGUAGUCCCUGUCUCUUAUAC